UUUUUUCUAUUAUUCUCAGACUUUUUACAUAAAUUUAUUUUUUACCCUGCCAUGCCAUUCCACAUUUAAAAUGAACAAGUCUAUAUCAAAAUUUACAUAUAUCAAAAUAUAUCAUUUUACUUGUAAUUUUGAUAUGAAUAAUCCCUUUAUCGUUCCUGUAGUGUUUAUUGCUCAGUAUAUAUGACGUUUAUUUUUUAUGUAUACAAAUUUUGAGGCUUUUAGCAUAAAGAGCCCUGAUAUAACUAAGAGAAUAAACAUCGAU
rnacentral:misc_RNA from 1 species